AUAAGAUGUAUUCCAACUCUUAUGAUCUUUGUUUUUCUCCUUUUUCAUCUUCCAAGUCCGUUACUUUGCUUUCUCCACUUUCUCCACAUCAAUCUCUUUCUAACUAUUCUUUACUCAAAGGGGAGAGUUCCAGAGAACAAUUAAUUUGUAGAGAAAAAAGGGGAGCAGUUCUGCGACCGAGGUUUCUUCUUUUUAUUUUUUAUUGAUUUGUUCUUAUUCUAUGUCAUUGCAUUGAUAUGUUCUUUUAUCUCUUCUUUUGCUUUUAUACUUCUUCUUCCAUUAAGAACUCCAAUUUGCUGCGUGAAAGAGGAGAAAUUUUAAGGACUUUGUUCACAGGUAUUAUUUCGUAUUUUUUUUGGGUAUUUCUAACUUUUUCUCUCUUUCAUCUAAGCAUUCUUUUUUUCCUUCUAUUUUUUCUGCUUAAAGUAAUUUUUACUUUAAUCUUGAAAAGUGAAAACUAAAAACAUGUGCUUAGUUUUCAGGUUGUUCCGAUAAUUUAUAUGAAAAAAGAACGAAGGAAAAGAAAACAACUUAAUGUAGCUUGUUGUACAGAGUAUGUUUUUUUUCCUCUCUUUGGGUUCCGUUGGUUUCCUCUUAUUUUUGCAAAUUCUUGUGUAGUCAGUGCCUCUUUCAUUGGCAUGAAUCUGUAGUAAGUAUGAGUCGGAUGAAUCUUAUACGAGAAAUGCAUAUUGUAGAGCUCGUGUCUCAAUAGGUGUUACAUCCUUCCGUAUACUUCCAUCGUAUCUUAUUGAGAGGAUUCAUAUCCGGUAGGUCUGCAAGAAACACAUCCGGAAACUCCCUCAUUACUGGAACUGACUAGAGAGUAGGAGUAUCAACACUAACAUCUCUGGCGAAGGCUAGAUACACUAAACAUUUUUUUCCAACCAUCCGUUGAGCCUUCAAGAAUUAGAUAACUCUGCUAGGAGUGCAACAUAGAGAACCAUUCCACUCCAUCUUCGGCAACCCUGACAUAACCUAUGUCACGGUCUUAACAUGACAAUUAAGAAUAACAUUGUAUGGAGGCAGCCAAUACAUACCCAAGAUCACAUUAAAAUCCACCAUAUCCAAUAAUAGAAAGUCCACUCUCAUCUCAAAACCACAUAUGGUGAUUGUUGUACCCUAUUUUGCACUAGACAAAAUAAGAUUCAACUUGUGGUUUCUCUGUUGUUGAUAAAAGAGAGUCGCCACCUUAUAUUUAAAGGUAUACUAGGGUACCUAUUAAAUUAUUAAUUUAUAUUUAGUAUUGGUCUGCUAACCGGUGAGAUUAUGGGUAAGGGUUCUUGUUCUUCUAAGGGGAGGUGUUAGGGACCCCUUAAAAUCUACCUAAGGUAGCUCCAUAUGACUUAGACUAAUUUUAAGAGGUAUGCUAUUUGUACUAUGCUUAUGAUGUUUUAUACUUCAAUACCACACAAGAGGGGGGAGGGAGUGAUUUGUGUGGUACCCAAUUUUCGCUUAACUGAAUUAUAGAAGGACCUGGUUCUUCUAUGUGUUCCAACUCCUACUGUUUGUGGAAUAAUAAGUAAAGAAAAUAAAGAACACAGAGAUUUUUACGUGGAAAACACCUGGCUCAAAAGGUGAAAAAAUCACGACCUACUUCUCAGUAGAAUUUUUCCAAACUUUCACUAAAAUCACUAAGCCAAAAACUGCAUUUACAAAAACUCUUUGUAAACCUAGGAUUAACUCUAAUACUGUUAUGGCACAUAGCCUCAACUGCUGCGACAACUUUAAGUUAACUCUAACUUGAACACUCUAGGUACCUAAUACAAUUGCUUUUAUAAAAGCUGAAAAGUACAAUGUAAAAUUACCUACUACGAUUAAAUUAGAAUAAAAGAUAAACACUUGGAACUGGUUCUUCUAUCUCGUUCAAUUAGCUUCAGGAUUGCACACUUGAAUCACACAUAAAUUGCUUGCAAAAUCGCCUUGCUCGUUUGCUCUCAAUUUAAGUUUAACUUCUUCUUAUGUGCAUUACCUGUAAAAGAGAACAACACUGAUAUUUAAUGGGUUAAUAAUUAGAGAUUGACUGGGAUUCAGAUACUACUCUUCUAUUGUAGAAGAGUUCUAGUUGAUCUUAUACUCUAACACUAUCUUCUUCCUAAACUGUGUUCUCUUCAGGUAAGGACUCUUUCUCUCCUUAUCCAAUAUGCAACCUUUUCGAUGAGAUCUGGAGAUAUUAUUUCUGAUAAGUUAGAUUUAUCUCUUUCACGUGCAUCUCACAUGUUUGGGUUGAUCAUGAUUGUGCUUCACAAGAUGGACUUGGUCCAUAUCUGAGUUCUUUUGUCAGUCUUCAAAACUUCACCUGUACUUGGGCCAAAAAAUUCCCCAUUUUUGAUGAUGACAAACUCUGUGCUUUUUACUUACUUGGAUCAUGUAAGAACUCAG
rnacentral:lncRNA from 1 species